UACGUAGGGUGCAAGCGUUGUCCGGAAUUAUUGGGCGUAAAGAGCUCGUAGGCGGUCUGUCACGUCUGCUGUGAAAACUCGGGGCUUAACCCCGGGCUGCAGUGGGUACGGGCAGACUAGAGUGCGGUAGGGGAGACUGGAAUUCCUGGUGUAGCGGUGAAAUGCGCAGAUAUCAGGAGGAACACCGGCUGGCGGAAGGCGGGUCUCUGGGCCGUAACUGACGCUGAGGACGAAGCGUGGGGAGCGAACAGG
rnacentral:rRNA from 1 species